rnacentral:rRNA from 1 species
CCUACGGGAGGCAGCAGUGAGGAAUAUUGGUCAAUAGACGAGAGUCUGAACCAGCCAAGUAGCGUGAAGGAUGACUGCCCUAUGGGUUGUAAACUUCUUUUAUAUGGGAAUAAAAUGUUCCACGUGUGGGAUUUUGUAUGUACCAUAUGAAUAAGGAUCGGCUAACUCCGUGCCAGCAGCCGCGGUAAUACGGAGGAUCCGAGCGUUAUCCGGAUUUAUUGGGGUUAAAGGGAGCGUAGGUGGAUUGUUAAGUCAGUUGUGAAAGUUUGCGGCUCAACCGUAAAAUUGCAGUUGAAACUGGCAGUCUUGAGUACAGUAGAGGUGGGCGGAAUUCGUGGUGUAGCGGUGAAAUGCUUAGAUAUCACGAAGAACUCCGAUUGCGAAGGCAGUUCACUGGACUGCAACUGACACUGAGGCUCGAAAGUGUGGGUAUCAAACAGGAUUAGAUACCCUAGUAGUC